rnacentral:rRNA from 1 species
UACGUAGGGUGCAAGCGUUGUCCGGAAUUAUUGGGCGUAAAGAGCUCGUAGGCGGUCUGUCGCGUCGGCUGUGAAAACCCGAGGCUCAACCUCGGGCCUGCAGUCGAUACGGGCAAACUAGAGUACUGCAGGGGAGACUGGAAUUCCUGGUGUAGCGGUGAAAUGCGCAGAUAUCAGGAGGAACACCGGUGGCGAAGGCGGGUCUCUGGGCAGUAACUGACGUGGAGGAGCGAAAGCGUGGGGAGCGAA